rnacentral:tRNA from 1 species
GCCUGUGUGGCUCAGUUGGUAGAGCAUGGCACUUGCAAUGCCACAGUUCGAUUCCCACGGGAC